AGAGUUUGAUCAUGGCUCAGGACGAACGCUGGCGGCGUGCUUAACACAUGCAAGUCGAACGGAGGUUAUUUUGAAACUUAGUGAUAGAUAACCUUAGUGGCGGACGGGUGAGUAACGCGUGGAUAACCUGCCUACAUGCCUGGGACAACACCGGGAAACUGGUGCUAAUACCGGAUACGCUCUUGUAUGCACAUGCAUAUAAGAGGAAAGGAGCAAUCCGCAUAUAGAUGGGUCCGCGUCCCAUUAGCUAGUUGGAGGUGUAAGAGACCCCCAAGGCGACGAUGGGUAGCCGGCCUGAGAGGGUGGACGGCCACACUGGAACUGAGACACGGUCCAGACUCCUACGGGAGGCAGCAGUGGGGAAUCUUCCGCAAUGGGCGAAAGCCUGACGGAGCAACGCCGCGUGAGUGAAGAAGGCCUUCGGGUCGUAAAACUCUGUCUUCAGGGAAGAAAAAAAUGACGGUACCUGAGGAGGAAGCCCCGGCUAACUACGUGCCAGCAGCCGCGGUAAAACGUAGGGGGCGAGCGUUGUCCGGAAUUACUGGGCGUAAAGGGCGCGUAGGCGGUCAUUUAAGUCAGAGGUGAAAACUACCGGCUCAACCGGUAGCCUG
rnacentral:rRNA from 1 species